GUAACAAGGUUUCCGUAGGUGAACCUGCGGAAGGAUCAUUACCGAGUGUAGGGUUCCUAGCGAGCCCAACCUCCCACCCGUGUUUACUGUACCUUAGUUGCUUCGGCGGGCCCGCCAUUCAUGGCCGCCGGGGGCUCUCAGCCCCGGGCCCGCGCCCGCCGGAGACACCACGAACUCUGUCUGAUCUAGUGAAGUCUGAGUUGAUUGUAUCGCAAUCAGUUAAAACUUUCAACAAUGGAUCUCUUGGUUCCGGCAUCGAUGAAGAACGCAGCGAAAUGCGAUAACUAGUGUGAAUUGCAGAAUUCCGUGAAUCAUCGAGUCUUUGAACGCACAUUGCGCCCCCUGGUAUUCCGGGGGGCAUGCCUGUCCGAGCGUCAUUGCUGCCCAUCAAGCACGGCUUGUGUGUUGGGUCGUCGUCCCCUCUCCGGGGGGGACGGGCCCCAAAGGCAGCGGCGGCACCGCGUCCGAUCCUCGAGCGUAUGGGGCUUUGUCACCCGCUCUGUAGGCCCGGCCGGCGCUUGCCGAACGCAAAUCAAUCUUUUUCCAGGUUGACCUCGGAUCAGGUAGGGAUACCCGCUGAACUUAAGCAUAU
rnacentral:rRNA from 1 species